AAUCCGUGUUGUGGGCACUGGCGAAGUAAACCCUUGUAUCGUUCCCAAGCCUCUGGAUAGCAUUCUUAGUCCAUUUACUGAAACGUGGUGAUCUGAUCCCUUAGCUU
rnacentral:snoRNA from 1 species